GCCAACGUAGCAGAGCUCGGUUUAAUGCGUCCGCCUUGAGAGCGGAUGUCCCUCUGGGACCCGCAGGUUCAAAUCCUGCCGUUGGCGCCA
rnacentral:tRNA from 1 species